CGGGACGGGUGAGUAAUGUCUGGGGAAACUGCCUGAUGGAGGGGGAUAACUACUGGAAACGGUAGCUAAUACCGCAUAACGUCGCAAGACCAAAGAGGGGACCUUAGGGCCUCUUGCCAUCGGAUGUGCCCAGAUGGGAUUAGCUAGUAGGUGGGGUAACGGCUCACCUAGGCGACGAUCCCUAGCUGGUCUGAGAGGAUGGCCAGCCACACUGGAACUGAGACACGGUCCAG
rnacentral:rRNA from 1 species